rnacentral:rRNA from 1 species
GAUGAACGCUGGCGGCGUGCCUAAUACAUGCAAGUAGAACGCUGAAGGAAGGAGCUUGCUCUUUCCGGAUGAGUUGCGAACGGGUGAGUAACGCGUAGGUAACCUGCCUGGUAGCGGGGGAUAACUAUUGGAAACGAUAGCUAAUACCGCAUAACAUUAGAUGUUGCAUGAUAUCUACUUAAAAGGCGCAAUUGCACCACUACCAGAUGGACCUGCGUUGUAUUAGCUAGUUGGUGAGGUAACGGCUCACCAAGGCGACGAUACAUAGCCGACCUGAGAGGGUGGUCGGCCACACUGGGACUGAGACACGGCCCAGACUCCCACAGGAGGGAGCAGUAGGGAAACUUCGGCAAUGGGCGGAAGUCUGACCGAGCAAAGCCGCGUGAGGGAAGAAGGUUUUCGGGUCGUAAAGCUCUGUUGUAAGAGGAGAACGAGUGUGAGAGUGGAAAGUUCACACUGUGACGGUAACUUAUCAGAAAGGGACGGCUAACUACGUG